rnacentral:lncRNA from 1 species
GUUUGACUCUCUCGUAUACCCUUCUUAGCAUGCCUUCCAUAUAUCCGUGCAUAUGACCCAUCUUAAAUAUAUAGUCAAGUUCUAUUCAAAGUUCAUGCUGGUUGCUAGCAUAGAGUAUUGCUUUUCUAAAAAAAUAUCUGAAUGCAGAGAGUUUAUACUUCAUUGGGUCAUACGACCAUCGUGGUAUUAUGACAGGUUCAUACAUAGCUUUUCUAUAAACUGUUGUGGAAAGUACCCUAUUCUCUACUUUGAGUUGUAUAUCUAAGAAGUGAGCCUCAUUCAUUGGAAUCCAUAACUGCUUUUUCUGCUUUUAAUAUUAUUAUGACUUGAAGUGGGCAGCAC